rnacentral:tmRNA from 1 species
GGGGAUGAAAGGAUUUCGACGGGGAUAUUGCACCGUGAUAAGCGAGCAGCGGUGGGGUACCGCUUUAAACAGCCUCAGUUUAUGAAAAUAAACGACAAAGAUCAAAAAGUACUUCUUGCUGCUUAAUUAGCGGCGAGCGUUCCUCCCGGAGUACCGCGGCCGGGUAAGGAGCGUCAUUAGCGGUAAAUGUGCACGGAUGAGCGCCCUGUAAUCCGUCACACACCAAAGGGCUACCAAGCCGGAAAGCCUGCCGUUUGGCGUUUCGGCGAGGGAAUGUUCAUAGAACGGCUACGCUCGUAGAAAUUUGCGGGAAUGUGUUUUCGGACGCGGGUUCGAUUCCCGCCAUCUCCACCA